rnacentral:misc_RNA from 1 species
UGGUUCUGGCAUCGAUGAAGAACGCAGCGAAAUGCGAUAAGUAAUGUGAAUUGCAGAAUUCAGUGAAUCAUCGAAUCUUUGAACGCACAUUGCGCCCAUGAGUAUUCUCUUGGGCAUGCCUGUUCGAGCGUCAUUUCGACCCUUAAGCAUAGCUUAGUGUUGGGAAUCUACUGUCUGUAGUUCCUGAAAACCAACGGCGGAUUUAUAGUAUCCUCUGAGCGUAGUAAUCUUUAUCUCGCUUCUGUUAGGUGCUGUAAUUCUAGCCGCUAAACCCCCCAUUUUUUUUAAAGGUUUGACCUCGGAUCAGGUAGGAAUACCCGCUGA